ACAUCCAGAGAAUUUAGCAGAGAUGCUUUAGUGCCUUCGGGAACUCUGAGACAGGUGCUGCAUGGCUGUCGUCAGCUCGUGUUGUGAAAUGUUGGGUUAAGUCCCGNAACGAGCGCAACCCUUAUCCUUUGUUGCCAGCACGUAAUGGUGGGAACUCAAGGGAGACUGCCGGUGAUAAACCGGAGGAAGGUGGGGAUGACGUCAAGUCAUCAUGGCCCUUACGAGUAGGGCUACACACGUGCUACAAUGGCGCAUACAAAGAGAAGCGACCUCGCGAGAGCAAGCGGACCUCAUAAAGUGCGUCGUAGUCCGGAUUGGAGUCUGCAACUCGACUCCAUGAAGUCGGAAUCGCUAGUAAUCGUAAAUCAGAAUGUUACGGUGAAUACGUUCCCGGGCCUUGUACACACCGCCCGUCACACCAUGGGAGUGGGUUGCAAAAGAAGUAGAUAGCUUAACCUUCGGGAGGGCGUUUACCACUUUGUGAUUCAUGACUGGGGUGAAGUCGUAACAAGGUAAGCGUAGUGCU
rnacentral:rRNA from 1 species